rnacentral:rRNA from 1 species
UACGGGGGGGGCAAGCGUUGUUCGGAAUUACUGGGCGUAAAGGGCUCGUAGGCGGCCAACUAAGUCAGACGUGAAAUCCCUCGGCUUAACCGGGGAACUGCAUCUGAUACUGGAUGGCUUGAGUUCGGGAGAGGGAUGCGGAAUUCCAGGUGUAGCGGUGAAAUGCGUAGAUAUCUGGAGGAACACCGGUGGCGAAGGCGGGUCUCUGGGCCGAUACUGACGCUGAGGAGCGAAAGCGUGGGGAGCGAACAGG